AAAAGUUAAAUAGAAGACCUAGAAUAAUUCCAGUACCCAUUUUCCCCAAUUUCUCCCCUCCGCCUCCCAAAUUUGCUUCCGCCUUCAAUAUCCGGCUUCACUAAUUUUUUUACUCAGCAAUGUGUAUCCGCAUGGUCGGUGUAACGAUGGAAAAUUGGCUAAUUCAAAAAUGAAAAGAAGUCUCCCACAUCCUGCAGUGUUGUGACAGGGACAAGAUUCUAUUACAAAAACGGUGUCGAGGAAGGACGAGUUAGAAGGCCUUUUAUGUUUUCUUUUCAUUAUAUAUGUAAACAAUCUUGUGUAAAUCAUUUAAUUGACCUCUUAGUCAUAUGAAUGUAUUUGAAUUAUUCAACUUGGGAAUUUCUUUUUAUUGAAUAAUAUUGAAUGUUUUUUUA